CAAUUGACUGCCGAAGACAGCAGGUGCCGUUAGGCAUAAGGAUGAAAACGCCUGCCGAGGAAGAUAUGGAUUCUUAAUGAUAAGAACGAAUUACGAACCUCUGUGUCUUUGGAUACAGAGGUUUUUUA
rnacentral:sRNA from 1 species